AAGGUGGAUUUGUAAGUAAUUAUUUUUUAAUAGUAUUUAAUGAAUUGUGGAACUAUGUGUGUACAUAUUGCCCGUCGCUCUCUUUUGAGAUAAGUCGUAACAUAGUUGAUAUACUGGAAGGUACAUCUUUUUGU
rnacentral:rRNA from 1 species